rnacentral:rRNA from 1 species
CACUCCUACGGGAGGCAGCAGUGGGGAAUUUUGGACAAUGGGCGAAAGCCUGAUCCAGCCAUGCCGCGUGCAGGAUGAAGGCCUUCGGGUUGUAAACUGCUUUUGUACGGAACGAAACGGCCUUUUCUAAUAAAGAGGGCUAAUGACGGUACCGUAAGAAUAAGCACCGGCUAACUACGUGCCAGCAGCCGCGGUAAUACGUAGGGUGCAAGCGUUAAUCGGAAUUACUGGGCGUAAAGCGUGCGCAGGCGGUUAUGUAAGACAGUUGUGAAAUCCCCGGGCUCAACCUGGGAACUGCAUCUGUGACUGCAUAGCUAGAGUACGGUAGAGGGGGAUGGAAUUCCGCGUGUAGCAGUGAAAUGCGUAGAUAUGCGGAGGAACACCGAUGGCGAAGGCAAUCCCCUGGACCUGUACUGACGCUCAUGCACGAAAGCGUGGGGAGCAAACAGGAUUAGAAACCCUGGUAGUCCCAUGA